rnacentral:rRNA from 1 species
UCAUGCGGGAGGCCCCGAUGCGGAAUAUUGCACAAUGUGAGAAACCCUGAUGCAGCCAUGCCGCCUGUGUCCUGAAGGCCUUCUGAUUGUAACGCGCUUUCAAUCCCGAGGAAAGGUUCGUAGGAAAUAUCUGCUAACUGUGACGGGCGAUACUCGGAAUUACUGCCCGUAAACUGUGUGUAGGCUGUCUGACAAGCCUUAUGAGAAAUCCCGGGGCUUAUCCACGGAACUGCGUUUGGAACUGUUUGACUAGAGGACCGCCAAGGGUGGAGGAAUUUCCAUGGUAUCGAUACAAAUGCUGAGAUAUCGGAAUGAACAUCACUGACAAAAGCGGACACCUGGACAGAUACUGACGCUGACGAUCAAAGGCGUGCGGAGCGAACAAGAUUAUAUACCCUGGUAGUCCACGCAGUAAACAAUGUCCCUGAGCUGUUUGUGU